UUUUGAAAUGAUUGAAAUCAUUGCUGGAGCACGCAUUAGGUAAAUUAUGCCAGGGUUCUUUUGAAGACCCUGACCUGGAGUUGCAUGCUGACUUCGGUUCUUUGCAGGAAUGGAAUCUGCUCAUGGGUUUCAUGACUGGUCGUUUUCCUUCAUGCCAACAGUGCGGCCUAAGAGUUUGCUGGCCUUUGGAGGCCUAGGAUCUUGGGCCUCUGGAGACAGGCAGAUUGAAGAAGAAAGUUAUGGAAGCAAACCAGAUGAAUGACCAUUCACUCAUGGUGAACAAGUGGAGUCCAGCAUUUCUACCCCAUGGAGGUCUCCAAGCCCCAAACUUCCUGUUUCUGCAAAAUGUCUGAAAAGUAAAUAGCCCUCAAUUACUUUUCUUCAUAUUUACAAAAUUGGAAUAUAAAAGCAAAUAAUUUGAUCUGAAAAUGUAUUCCCUUGGAGAACUAUCUUCAGUCUGAAAAAUUACUGUACACCAUAGCCAACAUAAUAUCAACACUGUCAUUGUCUCUUUAGUCCCUGGGCUUCAAUUUUAUGCACGAGUCAAUUACAAAAUAUCUUUAAAAAGUCUCUAUUAGUCCAGAUACAUAUUAAUCAUGAUUGUUUUUGUUAAUUUAACAAAAAUUUGUAUUGUUAGGUGAGCAAAUCUGUGCUAGUUUUCAUUUAUUCUGUACCGUUUGAAAUGCCAUCUGAUUCUUACUUUUGAGAAUGUGCAUAUUCUCCGUAAGCAUCAUGCCCUUUUCUGAAUAAUUACUAUUGUUCAAUUUACACUUCUGCCUACCAACUUUAAUUCCAAUGCUCCUGGUUGGGCCAGGUCCAUUGCAACUAUCUGGAAGUUAUUUCUUAUUGUAAUAUUUUGUUCCUUGUUGGCUUUGGCUAGCUGUUCUGAAUCUGAUGAUGCAGUUCAUACUAUUUCUCCACUAUGCCCUUCCACUGAGCCACUUCAUUGCCCACUGGGCUGGGGAAAUUCUGUUAAUGAAGUUUCUCUGUACAUCUUUUCAAGAAUCUUUACUUCACCUACCUGCCUCCCCCCACAACAUUUCCGAUUUUUCUCUUAACAUCAACAAGUAAUGGAGUAGGCUAUUCAGCUCCUUGAGUUAUUUAUCAAGAUCAUGGUUGAUCUUCUACCUCAAACAUCAAUUGCAGGCCAUAUCCUCUUAUUUCUGGACUCUAUUUUAUA